CAGCCGCCGCGGUAAUACGGAGGGUGCAAGCGUUAAUCGGAAUUACUGGGCGUAAAGCGCACGCAGGCGGUUUGUUAAGUCAGAUGUGAAAUCCCCGAGCUUAACUUGGGAACUGCAUUUGAAACUGGCAAGCUAGAGUCUUGUAGAGGGGGGUAGAAUUCCAGGUGUAGCGGUGAAAUGCGUAGAGAUCUGGAGGAAUACCGGUGGCGAAGGCGGCCCCCUGGACAAAGACUGACGCUCAGGUGCGAAAGCGUGGGGAGCAAACAGGAUUAGAUACCCGCGUAGUUCCUGUCUCUUAUAU
rnacentral:rRNA from 1 species